AAUUCUCAACUGCUUCAACUUUUGGGUUGAAGUGAAGUUGGACUUUGGAGGAUAAUUGCUGGCGCAACUUGUGGGUUGCUUGUUGGCACCUCUUGAAUGAAUGAGCGCUUUCCAUGGUGAAGUAAUGCUGAUGUGAUAAUUAUCUACAUUGGAUGUGAACCACCUGUAAGGAAGAGUGUAUGUAACAUCUUGGGGAAAAUGUUCCUUGAGACUGAAUGAUCA
rnacentral:misc_RNA from 1 species